rnacentral:rRNA from 1 species
ACGGCGUGCAGCAGGCGCGAAACCUCCGCAAUGCACGCAAGUGCGACGGGGGGACCCCAAGUGCCACUCUUAACGGGGUGGCUUUUCAGGAGUGUAAAAAGCUCCUGGAAUAAGGGCUGGGCAAGACCGGUGCCAGCCGCCGCGGUAACACCGGCAGCUCGAGUGGUAGCCGCGUUUAUUGGGCCUAAAGCGUCCGUAGCCGGUCCGAUAAGUCUCUGGUGAAAGCCCACAGCUCAACUGUGGGAAUCGCUGGAGAUACUAUCGGACUUGAGGCCGGGAGAGGCUGGAGGUACUCCCAGGGUAGGGGUGAAAUCCUAUAAUCCUGGGAGGACCACCUGUGGCGAAGGCGUCCAGCUGGAACGGACCUGACGGUGAGGGACGAAAGCCAGGGGCGCGAACCGGAUUAGAUACCCGGGUAGUCCUGGCCGUAAACGAUGCGGACUUGGUGUUGGGAUGGCUUUGAGCUGUCCCAGUGCCGAAGGGAAGCUGUUAAGUCCGCCGCCUGGGAAGUACGGCCGCAAGGCUGAAACUUAAAGGAAUUGGCGGGGGAG